rnacentral:tRNA from 1 species
GGGGCUUUAGCUCAGAGGUAGAGCGCUUGCCUAGCAAGCACAAGGCCCUGGGUUCGGUCCCCAGCUCCG